CCACACCUCUUCCGGGGCCGCUCUUGUCUUGCGUCUCGCUGGCGCCCUUUCAGGGUUUCCUUCCCUGCGUCAUCAUGGCCUCGGGUCUUUCUCGCCGGCCUCCUCUGCAUCACUCUUCUGAGCUUUGCCGGUGCCUUUCCAUCCUGGGCAUUGACGUUUGACUCUUUUCUGGGCUCGUCCAGAGCCUCGGCCCUACGACGCCACGACCGUGCGGCUCUUUCUGGCCGGCAGUCUUAUGUGUGGGAAUAGGGUUUUUUUUGUGUAGGGCUGUCCUCUGUGUUUGUGUCUGCUGUUUGUUUGUCUGUGUGUUUUUGGGGCUGGAGCUGCCUUGCCUGUGGGUGUUAGCCAUGGUGGUGUGUGGAGUGUGUCCGUGAUGGACUGGAGUGGUGGUGUUGCGGGCAUCGCCUGAGUGUGUGACUUCUCUCUGUGCUUGCAGGUUUUGCGGGAAGUUGUGGAGAGAAGCAGCUGAGUGCUGAGAAGAGCCUGAGCAGGUCUGCUGUGGGCCUUUCCCAGGCGUGGCUGAGACUUUCAGGCGCCACGGGCUUCCCCCCAGGCAGGAUGUUGGCGUUUGGAGUUGUUGCGGUGCAGAUGAUGAAGGCAAAUGUGGUGAGCAAAAGAAGAUCAGAGGGUGCGGCUGCUGCAGAGGAUGUGUCUGCUGUUGAGGAUGCCUCUUGAGGAGCAACAGUGAUGCAGAGCACUGCAAAAGCGAAGUGCAUGGGCAAAGGGUGUUGCGGGGUGUGUGUGUGUGUGUUGGUGUGUGUGAGGCAGAGGCAGUGGGGUGUGCAUGGCAGAAAGUGAGGGUGGGUGUCAGGCAGGGCAGCUCCAGCCUGUGUCUGUGUUGUUGUGUAGUGUAUGUGGUGUGUGUUGUAGCUGUGCUAUCUUUUGCUCAGGUCUUGAUGUUGCCCUUGCUCUUUGUGCUCAAGGAGCACAGCAUAUGCUUUGUAGUGCUAGUGCAACAGGCAUCUGCUGUCUUUUGUCUGGUCUUGACUGACUCAUCUGUGUUGCUCCAAUGAUCAUCUUGUUCUGUGCAGGCAGCUGAAAGCAGCAGUCUGUCACUGUGAUUCUGCAUUGUUUCUGGCCAAUCAUCUUGGCAGCCAUCAUUCAGGUCUUGUUGGUCGUGUGUUUUCUGAGGCCUCUCUUAUUUUGCAUCUUCCUGGUGCCCUUUCAGGGUUUUCUUCCCUGUGUCAUCAGAACCUCGGGUCUUUCUUGCUGGCCUCUUCUGCAUGGCCGUUCCUCGCUUUGCUGGCCCCUUUCCAUCACAGAUGGUGGCAUCUGACUCUUUUCUGGUCUCGUGGAGAGCACCAGAGCCGCACGGUCGUGGCAUUGUAGGGCUUUCUGGCUGGCAGCAUCUUCUGUGCUGGCAUUGUUUUUUGCAUGGAGGGUGUGUGUACGUGUCUGUGUGUACGUGUCUGUGUGUACGUGUCUGUGUGUACGUGUCUGUGUGUGUGUUUGGAGCUGCCUUGCCUGUGGGUGUAGUAAUGGUAGUUGCCAGAGCAGAAUAAUGUAUCUAUGAAACACUUAUUUUGUUUUUUCUUUUUUUUUUU